rnacentral:rRNA from 1 species
GAUGAACGCUGGCGGCGUGCCUAAUACAUGCAAGUCGAGCGAACAGACGAGGAGCUUGCUCCUCUGACGUUAGCGGCGGACGGGUGAGUAACACGUGGAUAACCUAACUAUAAGACUGGGAUAACUUCGGGAAACCGGAGCUAAUACCGGAUAAUAUAUUGAACCGCAUGGUGCAAUAGUUGAAGUAGGUUUUGCUGUCACUUAUAGAUGGAUCCGUGCCGCAUUAGCUAGUUGGUAAGGGAAAGGCUUACCAAGGCUACGAUGCUGAGCCGACCCGAGAGGGUGAAUCGCCACACUGGCACUGAGAAUCGUCCCCCACUCCUACAGGGGGCAACAGCAGAGAAUCUUACGCGAUGCGCGAAUGCCUAACGGAGCACCGCCGCGUAAAUGCUGAUGCUCCUAUGAUCCUAAAGCUAUGUAGUUCGGAAAGUUCUAAUGUGUAAGUACCUAUGCACGUCUUGACGGUACCUAAUCAGAAAGCCACGGCUAACUCCGUG